CCCUACGGGGCGCGACUGUACAAUCACGACAGAAAAGCCAUUUUUGCUCAAAGUCGACGAUAUGGUGGUCGAAGGGCGUAUGGACCUUUUUGUCGAGAAACCCGAUGCAAUAGACAUAAUUGAUUUUAAGUCGGACGCCGUGCAGGAAAGCGCACGCUAUGAGGUACAGCUUGAGCUCUAUCGUAGGGCGGCCCAAAAGUUUGCACCGGGCAAAAAGGUAAGGCUGGGGAUUUUCUGGCUUAGGACGGCAGAGCUUGCGUGGUUACAAAGUGAAAUCGGGGACGCCCUGCUCGCCGCCGCGCUUCACGAAAUACGGGGCGAGGCCGCGGUCGGUGGCAUGUAAGGCGGCAAAGCGGUCCCACUCGGCCCUGACGGUGGCGAUGGCGGCCUCGAAGGCGGGGAUUUGGUCGAAGCUUUUGGCGGGAGAGC
rnacentral:rRNA from 1 species